rnacentral:rRNA from 1 species
AAUGAACGUUGGCGGCGUGGAUUAGGCAUGCAAGUCGAACGAUAUCUGUAGCAAUACAGUGAAAGUGGCGAAAGGGAGAGUAAUACGUAGGUACCUGCCCUCGGGUCUGGGAUAGCUGCGGGAAACUGCAAUUAAUACCGGAUGACGUCUCUGGACCAAAGGUGUGAUUCCGCCAGAGGAUGGGCCUGCGUCCUAUCAGCUAGUUGGUGUGGUAAUGGCGCACCAAGGCUAAGACGGGUACGGGGUGUGAGAGCAUGCCCCCGC